GCGGGGACGGCCGCGCGGGCGCAGGCAGCUCCAGCAGCGUGGGUCUGUCGUAGCGCUUGGCCAGCGCCGGCCGCCGGCUGCUGGGGAACGUCUUGAGGACGCUGUAGGGGCCGCGCUGCUUGUAGAUGCGGGGCGCGCUGGGCCCCUCCUCCGCCGCCUGCAUCUCGGGCUCCAUGCCGAGCCGGAGGCCCUGCCCGCCCCGCGCGCGGCUCCAGGGGUGGCUCGGCCGCCCGGUCGCCCGCUCUCCCCCGGCGCGCGCCGGCGGGAAGGCGUGUGUCUGAGCCGUGGCCGCCGUGGCCGCCGUGGCCGCCGCCGCCGCCGCCGCCGCUGCUGCCUGUCGCCGAGCCUGGCAUCUCCGAGCCCCCGCGCGGGGGGCUGCCGCCCAGCGCUGAUUGACAGCCCGCCUCGCCAAUGCCUGGAGGGAGAAAGGAGAUUGAGUAUUUACUUCAUGCUACAGGACAGGACUGCAACAGUGAACUAUGGAGCAUGGCUCCUACCCAUCGGGAGCUUGCCUAUACUCUCGUAGGGAGACAGCUAUUAGACAGUCCUCCCUUCAUCUGACAAGAAAGAUAAAGAGUAAUCAACAGUUUUGUUUAAGUGGGGCCUGGGCCCAGCAGAUGUUUAGAGGACACUGUGGAGUCGCAGAUGUUUACACAGUGCCUGGGCAGGAAUCAAGCAUCAGACGAUGACGACCACAAGGCCAUGAGGCAAGCUCCCUUCUUACAUGGAGCAUUACUAAAGAUGUCUACAGCUUCUGAAAGAGAGGACUCGUUAGUCCGUUGGCAGGCCUCUCCUCCCUCAGAGGAAUUUACACAGAACCAGUCGAAAUCUCCUGUCAUUCUGACUGCCCAUAAUACAAAACUUUCUACCCAGAAGACUUCACGUCGACCAGUUUUUGAACGUGCAGUGUAUGAAGAAGCAGGGCUUUGAACUGAACAAGCCCAAGAAUGUACCUGUCAAACCAGUGAUAUGGCUUAAUCACGGCCAGACAUCAGCUGCAACUGAGGUGGCUUUAGCACACAUCUUUUCAUGGCGCCUUCCCAGACUAGGGUAGUCAAUCAGAUGUUCCACAGGAUAAAGGGCUGCCACGUGCCAUGCUGUCUGCUGUCCUGCAUCUUUCUCAACACCUGCACGACCAAGGAUUUGUUUUCCUAAUGGCUGCAAGGCCGGCUGAUGUCACUUCCUGGGAAUUAGCAUUCUCGCCCAAUGUGAACGGUGCUUCAUGGAGACAGCCCACAUCAUGUGCCCGAGAUGGGAUGAGAAAGUUCUGUUCCUCUGCCUGGACUGGGGACAGCUCUGAAGGAGUGCCUGAGAUGGGAUGAGAAAGUUCUGUUCCUCUGCCUGGACUGGGGACAGCUCUGAAGGAGUGCCUGAGAUGGGAUGAGAAAGUUCUGUUCCUCUGCCUCAGACCCUCUGUGGGGCUGGCUGGGUCUGCAGUAGUCAAAACUCUUUCCAAAUCCACGCCGCACCCCAGAAUCUACUUGUUAGCGAACACAACAUGAAGCAUGAGGACUCGGAGAGGGUGGAAAGCCAAUAGCUGAGAGGCCUUUACUAUCUGAGGAAGGACUCACUUUCAAGGUCUACUGUCUACGGUCACUAAAAAGAGAACAGAAAACACCCCCCUCUUUAAUUUUACCACAUCUUUUCACCGACUGAGAACACCCUAACAUUUUGCUAUUUUCGUUUAUUUACUAGAGUUCUCCCUAGCUUUAAUUUAUUUCCAAAUUUGAGCAGCCAAGUCUAUUUGAACCAAUUCUGUGACUGAAAUUUGUUGUCGAACAGAAAAUUAUGAGAGGAACGUGAAGUCCGAGGCGUUUGCUGGAACAGGAAAUGGAGAACAUUACAGCGGAAUGGAGUCCUUUUGGUAAUGAUGCAUGGGGUUGAAACGAUGUGAAAGGGAAAUCAUUUAACCAUGUAAAUUGAACAAAGGAGAAUUCCAUGAUAAUGACCCCAGGCCCUAGCAUUCCGGAGAAUAAAAUGGUAGGCAUCAGAAUGAGGUCACUCCAGCAUGCAUGGCAUUGACCUAGUGCGUUGCUUGGGUGUGUCAACCUGGUUUGAGUCUCUGCCGGAGCAUGAGUUAGUUUCAUCUCUUUGCUCCUUGGAGGGUGAGAAAAAUAAGCAUGUCCUAUAAUCUAUCAUGAGAUAGUUCUGAACAAGAGCUAUCUUAAGGAAGGAGGAUUUUGACAAAAACUUGAUGACUUAAUUUGAAUCAGUUUCCAGGUUGGGGCUGUUGUGUUUGUAAAGAAAAGGAAGCAGAGGACAGGCUGGUUCUGGUGUUGCCGCCCCCCCCCCCUUCCUGAAUAUUUCCUACCAAGUGACUGCUUUGGAUAAUGACAAAAUGAUUUCACUAUGGAGAGAAUGCAGAGAAAAGAAUCUGGGGCUGUUUGAUUGGCUAAUAAUGAACAUAAAGGACUUGGUGCUUGUUGAAUGGCAGAUUGAAAUCCAGUGUGUGUUCAUGCAGAUCUUAUGGGGGUGGUAUUGGAUUGGACCACAAAUUAGUGCUGGCAUUAAUGAGAUGGAAGCUGUAAAAUACAGAGUUCCAAUAACCACGAUCUCUGAUAAGACCCAAUUGAAAGCACCCAGACCAUUCAGACAAGUUCUGUGCCAGAGCCGAGCAGUAAACAACAGAGACAUUCAAAAUGGGGAGGAAACAGAGGCUAUGUAACCGACCGAGCUGGUGUUAGAAAGCUGGGUGGAAACGAUGCUAAUGCACAGCUGAGUGACAGACAUGAGCUUGUGGAGAAUAAUGAUUUGUAGACACAGACACUAUUUAGAUGCAGUGUAAACCAUCAGAGAGGACGAUUAUACCUCCAACAUUAGAGGGAAGUUUAUCCAAAUCAGGAAGGGCCCUGUGUCACCACCACCGCUGCCAUUCCCGACGUGAAUAUGCCUUUGUGUGGUGUAUGUGGUGAUUGACGGCUUGUAGUGCCCAUCUCCCUAUGUUGUGUGAGGCACCUCCUCCUCCUGUUAACCGCUUGUGAGUUAUCCUCAGUAAUUUAUUUCAAAGAGCAUUGCCGGGUGGAAAAUGCCUGCUCGCCAGCAUCUUGAGGUCUGCAUGGCAAACAGAGCAAACACAGUUAUAGCACCAUCAGAUAAUCCCAUUAAGUUGAUAGAUGAACAGUGGCCACUGUCUGACCUGUUUGAGCACUUAGAUGUCAUUUGAAUUCUUGGAUGGCCUUAGUCUGCAGAACUUAUCUCCAGGCAUUGUCCUUGUGUUUCCUACUGAAAUAGGACUACAUUGACGAGAGUGUAGGAGAAGUCUGUGUGUCUUUAGAGGAACCUGCUGGUUUCCCAGAAUUCCGCUGGUGUCUAUCUAGGAUUUGUUUCAGCAGAGCCAAAUGGUGCAUCUACUGUUGGUGCCACAUGUGCUUAUCUUUUGCUCAUUUCCUGUCCCUUUAAGGAAACCACGGGUCAUGAUAAUUGUUCCUUAUCCACCCCACUUAUUGUUCAAGAAACACAUAGUGGUCUCUGUAUUCCUUUGCGGUGUUGCUAUAGGAGAUUCGAGAAACUAUUUCUUUCUCCUGAUGCUCACCACCUUGAUUUUCAAUACCCUCAUUUUUCAUACAGAAUAUGCUUAGUAAAUGUUGAAAUACAUGAACCACCUUGCAAGAGAGAGGCUGUUCUAUGUUUAUAUUGGGAGCGAUAAAACAAAAAGAAGUUAUAUUGACAAUCAUAAAGCAAAAAAGAAGUUCUAUUUACAAUCUUAGAUUGAUAAUAAAUAUGUAUAGCUGAGAAGACCUGUAGAGAUCAACUGGACCCCUGAUCCCUAUUCCACUGUUUGCAUAGAGGAAAGACAGAAAUCAGAGGGAACUGUCUUUCCCAGUGGGUAAUAGUUAGUGUGUGGUUUACCGAAGAUGGAUUCUGAGCUAUGGUCACUGUCUGUCUCCUCACUUGUUUUUCUAAAGGAUAAAGACAACAGAGAGGCUCUACCAGUGAAUUCUUUCUGUCAGGCAUGCUAUGUGGAUGGUUUCUUCUUUGAAUUGCUUUGUGUUACCUGCUUCUGUACUGCGAAUUUAAGAGAUCACAUCAAGGAAGGCAUCCUUAGCUGGCUGGUACAGAAUCAUACUUGAAAAGUCAGAAGAGUUCCUGAGGCCACCGUGAUCUGAAAUUUUAAUCUCCAUCUCUGACGACCUGACAAGCAAUCAUACUGUUGCAACACUCAUGGUCUCUGUCUCUGCAUAUGCUGACUUGGGAUCUGUCAGAAGUCUAUGGUCCUGGAUCCGCCGUUGCAGAGUCCAAAUCCUCUUUCUGGAGACACUCGGAACAACUGAAUCUCUGGCUUCUAUCAGUUCCAAUUUGUUCCGUGUGUGUGUGGUUUGUGUGUGUGUGUGUGUGUGUGUGUGUGUGUGUGUGUG